UACAGAGGUCCCAAGCGUUGUUCGGAUUCAUUGGGCGUAAAGGGUGCGUAGGCGGCGCGGUAAGUCGGGUGUGAAAUCUUGGAGCUUAACUCCGAAACUGCAUUCGAUACUGCCGUGCUUGAGGACUGGAGAGGAGACUGGAAUUUACGGUGUAGCGGUGAAAUGCGUAGAUAUCGUAAGGAAGACCAGUGGCGAAGGCGGGUCUCUGGACAGUUCCUGACGCUGAGGCACGAAGGUCAGGGGAGCAAACGGGA
rnacentral:rRNA from 1 species